CUCCUUGUAAUGCAAAAAUAAAAUACAAUCCCAGUUAUAAUUUUUAAUGCAAUCUGUUGUUUUCUAAUUAAAAAAGCUUUCAGGCUUUUUAUAGCAGCUAAUCUCUCUGUGCUUUUUUAAUAUAGAAGUUAAUAUGGAUGUCUUCUUAAUUACUUUUGCACGUAAGCCAGAAUAUAGGUUUAGAUUUCUUUUUCCUAUAUAUGUGUGCACUUGCAGUAAAUGGACUUUAGAUCCCAUGUUCUCAAGCACCUGGCUUUGAGCAUUUCUGGCCUUUGGCGAACAGUGACAAGGAAGCAAUUUGUCCUCUGCAGCUUUACGCAGACAGAGGUGUAUUUUUAGGCUAUCUCACACUGAGUAACGCACUUUCCUUUCAGACAUCUACAGGGUGGGGACUGGAACCCAGGGCUGUGCAGUGAAUGGGCAGAGACGAAGGCUGAGGAAGUUGCGGUACGUGGUUCUGCUGCUGACGGAUCUCGCUUGCUGCUGCCCCCGGCGGCAGGCGGCCCGGUGCUGCUGAAGCCCAGAUCCUCGGGAAUGCUGGGAAUGUUGAGUCAGGGACUGGCAGCCCAGCCAGCCGGGCUCGCAGCUGACUGAGGGACACUCGCUGGGGGACAGAAAGACGAGGGACAGGAGCACGCAGCCCCCCCCCAAAACAACAGCGGGAUCCCUCUGCCUCUCCCCGUGUGUGCUCGGCGGCCCCGGCUUUCCCUGCUGCCUCCUUCCUCCGUGCAAGCGAGAUGUCAGCUGAACGUGAUGUUGUAAAAUCCAUGUGAGGACGAAAGACAGAUGCAACGAUUUGAAAGGUAUCUGAAUCAGAAGGAUUUUUGCCUACUGGAAGAAUGCAGUGAAACUGCCAAUAUUUCUAGCUGGGAUUAUAAAUUUAAUACUCAACUUUAGUCUUACUAGUUUCUUACUAAACAGUACCUCAAAGUAGAAGAAAGAUGUACGGAAGUGCAAGAACAAUCAGCAACUUAGAAGGAAGUCCCUCCAGAUCUCCUCGUUUGCCAAGAUCUCCUCGCCUGGGCCAUAGGCGAACAAGUAGUGGAGGAGGAGGAGGAACAGGUAAGACGUUAUCAAUGGAGAACAUCCAGUCCCUUAAUGCAGCCUAUGCAACAUCUGGACCAAUGUAUCUGAGUGACCAUGAAGGUGUAGCUUCUACUACUUUCCCAAAGGGCACAAUGACUCUUGGAAGGGCUACAAAUCGAGCUGUGUAUGGUGGUCGAGUCACAGCUAUGGGAAGCAGUCCUAAUAUUGCUUCAGCUGGACUGUCCCACACAGAUGUCCUUUCUUACACUGAUCAACAUGGAGGUCUGACCACAUCUUCACACCAUCAUCACCAUCAGGUUCCUUCUAUGCUGAGACAGGUUAGAGAUAGUACUAUGUUAGACCUGCAGGCUCAGCUUAAGGAACUACAGAGGGAGAAUGAUCUUCUCAGAAAAGAACUAGACAUUAAAGACAGCAAGCUGGGAUCCUCCAUGAAUAGCAUCAAAACUUUCUGGAGUCCUGAAUUAAAGAAAGAAAGAGUGUUGAGGAAGGAAGAAGCAGCCAGAAUGUCAGUUCUUAAAGAGCAAAUGAGAGUUUCACAUGAAGAAAAUCAGUUUUUGGAUGCCAGGAGAACAAAGCAUCUGCAAAUGACAAUCCAGGCACUUCAAGAUGAGCUUAGAACCCAGAGAGAUCUUAAUCAUCUUCUGCAGCAAGAAAGUGGAAACCGAGGUGCUGAGCAUUUUACGAUUGAGCUAACAGAGGAGAAUUUUCGAAGACUUCAAGCAGAACAUGAUAGGCAAGCUAAAGAGCUUUUCCUGUUAAGAAAAACUCUAGAAGAAAUGGAGCUAAGGAUUGAAACACAAAAACAAACACUAAAUGCUAGAGAUGAAUCAAUAAAAAAGCUUCUGGAAAUGUUGCAGAGUAAAGGUUUGCCCUCAAAAGGAAUGGAAGAUGACAAUGAGAGAACUCGAAGGAUGGCAGAAGCUGAAUCUCAGGUUAAUCAUUUAGAAGUGAUAUUAGACCAGAAGGAGAAGGAAAACAUACAUCUUAGAGAGGAAUUACAUAGAAGAACUCAACUUCAGCCUGAGCCAGCAAAGACGAAGGCUCUUCAAACAGUUAUUGAAAUGAAGGAUACAAAAAUAGCUUCACUUGAGCGCAAUAUAAGAGACCUGGAAGAUGAAAUACAGAUGUUAAAGACAAAUGGAGUUCUGAAUGCAGAGGAUCGAGAAGAAGAAAUCAAACAAAUAGAAGUUUACAAGAGUCACUCGAAGUUCAUGAAAAAUAAGAUUGACCAACUGAAACAAGAACUCUCAAAGAAAGAAUCAGAACUUCUUGCCUUACAAACUAAGCUUGAAACCCUUAGCAAUCAGAAUUCAGAUUGCAAGCAACACAUUGAAGUGCUUAAAGAGUCACUUACUGCCAAAGAACAGAGAGCUGCCAUACUUCAGACAGAGGUUGAUGCCUUGCGAUUACGAUUGGAAGAAAAAGAAACAUUUCUCAAUAAAAAAACAAAACAACUUCAAGACCUCACAGAAGAGAAAGGAACCCUGGCUGGAGAGAUUCGGGAUAUGAAAGACAUGUUGGAAGUAAAAGAAAGGAAAAUUAACGUCCUUCAAAAAAAGAUUGAAAAUCUACAAGAGCAACUUAGGGACAAAGACAAACAACUAACUAAUCUAAAGGACAGAGUGAAGUCAUUGCAGACAGAUUCUAGUAACACAGACACAGCACUAGCCACCUUAGAAGAAGCUCUGUCUGAAAAGGAAAGAAUAAUAGAACGCUUGAAGGAGCAAAGGGAGCGAGAUGACAGAGAAAGACUUGAAGAAAUUGAAUCUUAUAAAAAAGAAAACAAAGACUUGAAGGAGAAAGUUAAUGCUUUACAAGCUGAACUGACAGAAAAAGAGUCUAGUUUAAUCGAUCUCAAAGAACAUGCAUCUUCAUUGGCAUCAGCAGGGCUGAAAAGAGACUCCAAACUUAAGUCUUUAGAAAUAGCCAUAGAACAAAAGAAAGAAGAGUGUAGUAAGUUGGAAGCACAGUUGAAAAAGCAAGCUGAACAGUUGUUCAAUCAGAUGUACAAUCCUAUGCCAAUUAGGAAUAAUGGGAAGCAAGGGGCUCAUGAGGCCGAAGAGGAGGCGCGCAUGAAUCCAGAAUUUGCGGACAGAAUGAAACAGCUUGAUAAGGAAGCAUCAUACUAUAGAGAAGAAUGUGGCAAAGCUCAGGCUGAGGUUGACAGACUUCUAGAAAUUCUCAAGGAAGUAGAGAAUGAGAAGAAUGACAAAGAUAAGAAAAUUGCUGAGUUAGAAAGCUUGACUUCCAGACACAUGAAGGACCAAAACAAGAAGGUUGCCAAUCUGAAGCACAAUCAGCAACUGGAGAAAAAAAAGAAUGCACAGCUGUUGGAAGAAGUUCGUAGACGAGAGGACAAUAUGACAGACAACUCUCAACAUUUACAAGUAGAAGAACUGAUGAAUGCGUUGGAAAAAACUAGACAAGAAUUAGAUUCUACCAAAGCCCGUCUUGCCUCAACGCAGCAGUCUUUGGCUGAGAAGGAAGCACAUCUGGCUAAUCUAAGAAUAGAGCGGAGAAAACAACUUGAAGAAAUUCUAGAAAUGAAACAGGAAGCACUGCUUGCUGCAAUUAGUGAAAAGGAUGCAAACAUUGCCUUGCUUGAACUGUCUGCUUCAAAGAAAAAGAAGACACAAGAGGAAGUAAUGGCUCUUAAAAGAGAGAAGGACAGAUUAGUACAUCAGUUAAAACAGCAGACACAAAACAGAAUGAAACUAAUGGCAGAUAACUAUGAUGAUGACCAUCACCACUACCACCAUCAUCACCACCAUCACCAUCACCGAUCUCCUGGGAGGCCACAACACUCCAACCACAGACCCUCUCCAGAUCAGAUGAUCCAGUCACUGUUGGAGGCACAUAGCCACGGCAAAAUCUCAUGCUGUACAUUGAUCACCUGUCCAACCUUUGCCUAGAGUGUGAUCCCCAGUUCCUUCAAGAGAUCCAUCUUUACCUGUCUAUAAAGAAGAAGAGGAGGAGGGAGACAUCUGGGAUAUUCAAGUAUCAAAGUUUAACACCAGAGCAGUUGUCAGAGGAACUAGUGAAAAAGGAAGAAAAGAUGUAGCACUGGAAAGUUACGAUGAUAAUCUAUUGCAUUGGAUCUCCAAACAUGACCAUGAUACCCUGGAGAAGAUCACAGAUGCAGAAAAUGAAUGCUAAGGUUGAUACCUAAUGAAAUGCUGCAUUAAUUGGCGUCUUCUCCAUUAUUUCUUGUAGUCUGCUGUGAAAUUAGAAACUUCAGAAAACAAUGAAGGAGAUUCAAGCAGAAAUUACAAGAGCUUUAUUUCUAUCUUCAAUGGGUCUUGCAAGUUAUUGUUUUCACAAACAAACCAAGCGUUCAGAAUAUUAUUGUUUACUGAACUUAAGUUAAUCAGGUUCUGUAACUCUUUUUUGGUAAAUUAAUAUUGAUUUUAAUAAGUAAUUCAGAUGUAGGUAAUUUAGGUAUGGUAUCUGCAUUUGCUGAUUUUUACCUAGUCUAUUCUAAAUCUUCUAUUGCACUAGAUUAUCAAAGAGGUAUUAGUAAAAUGUUAUAUAAAGGGUGUUGGCGUUCAUCUUAACCCCAAUUAGAUGUGGGCUUUAAAAAAACAGACACAAAAACAAGCCUUUACCCUCCUCUGUUUUCUUAUAUCUACUGAUAAUUAUAAUUAAAAGAAAAAACAAUGCCACAAAACAACACAAACCAAAAUGAAGACAAACAAACAAACAAAAUAAACAGCAACAAAAUAAGAAUUAAAAAACAAAAAACCAACACAUUGAUAGUAUAACCGGUACUAAGCUCUGGGCCAGGUUGGAAAUGAAAUCAAUUUUUGGUACUUAUAACUGAUGGCAAAGAUUAACUCUAUGAAAAUAUGGUGUGUGUCUCUGACAAUGCAUAGGACAUCUAAUUUGAUCAUAAAUAUACAAUUAUAAACAAGAUGCAUCUAUUCCUGGAUGGUAAAAGCUUGAGGCGUAUAUAAAUACAUAUGUUUGUAUAUAUAUGGACUAUAUGGACAUAUACACAAGGAUGUAUCAACCUUUUACCAUCCAAAUGCAUACAGAUCUUCAACAAUGAAAGCUGGGACUCUUUAAAAACAUAAAAAUAAAGUAAGAUUGCUGUGAAUACAGUAUAUGCACUAGGUCUCCUGUAAAUGAGGAACUGUUUGUUAUCAUUUUCUGAGUUGAAAAACAGUCUCCAACAUGGAUCCCAAUGACUUUUAGAUGUUAAAGAAGAAAAUAGCAAUGAACAAACAGCCCAUAGAGGCUGUCUGAAUCAAACCAAAAUACGUCUAGUAAAACAGAUUUAAAGCACAUGCAAGGAAAAAUAAAAAUGUGAAGUCAUUACAUUCAGUGAGAGAAUAUUAACUGAUAGAUAAAUAUCUACCACUUCCCAAGGACAGGACCCUUGUGACUCCAUGAACAUUUGUGGUCAGUCUGGCAAAUUGCAGACGUUUGGCUGUUUUACUGGGGCAUCUUUUCGUCCAUGGGAGAAAUAAUUCCAUGGUGAUGGGAGUGGGAAUAGAAUAUCUACAUUUUUAAAGGACAAACAAUAAAUUUAAGCAUGGGUGGCCUUAAUCCUUAGUAGUUUUUCUUUGCUGCUGUAAAAAAGAAAAAUCUAAGUGGAUACUCCUAAAGUCUUGCACUGAAUUUAGAAAAAAAAUAUUUUUUGAACCUGUGGUGCAAUUAACCCUAAGCAUCCUACAUGAGCCAUACAUACAGCCCUUUAAAGUGAUUGUCUAGAGAUAAUAUUUUAUUUCUUUGUACCAUAAUUCUUGGUACAAUCAAAGAUCAAUUUAUUUGAGCAGGAGUCCUGCUGGAUGCUACUGUUUUCCAUAGAUAGAAAAUGUAUAGAAUUAGUAUAGCAUAGAUAGUCCAAAUUUCAUUCAUGUUUAAAAAGUUUGUCCUUUAACUAUCAAUGGCAUUUUAGAUCUUUGUUUUGAAACAGCAAAGCUUUUGGGAGUAUAUUUAGCACAUAUGACAAAUGUUGCACUUGGAAACUCAGACAACAAAGCUUAGUUUCUUGUGACAAAUUUGUUGUCACAGUAGGGGACAAUCGUCUGUGUCUCUUACAAUCAGGUCUUAACCUUAACUCUGCAACUGAAUACUUGAAGUAGGAAAUAAACUAGGGGGAAAUAGGGUCAGAUGCAAAGCUGUAUAGUUAGAUAUUUAUAUGUAUGUGCCAAUUUUGUCACAGGUAUUAUUUUAGGGGCAUUUUUGCUCCUUUCAUGUUGGUAAGAGUAUUGAUCUAAACUUUUAUCAGGGCCUACAGUUAGCCCUAAGGAAGAAAACUCUGUCUAACAUUGCUUCUUUCUUUCUUUAUCUUUAUUUUUCUUUUUUUUUUUCUUUUUUUCCAUUUCAUGUGAUACUCUUCAAUGUUUGCAGAUAAUCUUUUCAUAUUCUAAAAUAGAAUCUCGGGGUUUACAAUAAACACUGUGAUGUUGGGAAAAUAUUUUAUUUGAGCAAUGUUUGGUAGGUUUUUUUUCCCCCUCGAAGUGUAAAGAAGCAAACCAACUUUUGGUUAACACUUAAGAUAAUUAUUAUUAUUUUAAUGUGAGAUCAGUCUUGUACUGCGCAUUCUUUCUUUCAUUUAAAUGUACAGUAUGAAUUUUGUAUUUAAUGAAUUUUGUGUAUCCAGUAUGCACGUACCUGCACACUGACUUUCAUUUGAAAGUGAGUUUCAAUUUACUUUUUAAAGCAGUGUUUAUGAAAAGACCUCAGAUGUGUUGACACAAACUAUAUCUGCAAUGUUUGGGGUUUUUUGUGUGUGUGUGUGUAGGGUGAUGUUUGAAUGUGAUGUUCUGCAGCAAUGGGUCAGUAUUCCCUAAUAACCUUAGAUCCUCAUUUGAUAGUGCUUCUUGUAAUACUUUUUUCAAGUGAGUGGCAUGUUCUGGAUUGUGAUAUUGAUAUGUGGUUAAGGAUAUCGAUAUGAAACUAAGGAAUUCCUAGAAAUUAACAGUGGGCAUGUAUUAGACAGUCAUUGUAAUUUAAUGUCUAGUAGAAGUGUAAAGUACCAAGGUAUUUAGAGUCCAUAACGUUGUUAUCAUGUGUAUGGGAAGUACUUAGUGUUGAUCAUCUUGUUUAUAUUCAUCAAAUAAACUUUGUUUCUUUCUGAAA